UCGCGUGAAGUGUUCGGAUCGCGGCGACGUGGGCGGUUCGCUGCCGGCGACGUCGCGAGAAGUCCACUGAACCUUAUCAUUUAGAGGAAGGAGAAGUCGUAACAAGGUUUCCGUAGGUGAACCUGCGGAAGGAUCAUUGUCGAUGCCCCACGAACAGAACGCCCCGCGGACCGGUUCACGAAUCGAUUGCCGCCGGCGGGCGCGGGAGCCCCCGCGCCCCGCCGGCCGAACAACCAAACCCGGCGCCAGUCGCGCCAAGGAAACGCAACAAGAGAGCGAGCUCCCGACGGCCCGGAAGCGGUGCCCGACCGGCGAGCGUCGCGACAUUCGUAAUACAAAACGACUCUCGGCAACGGAUAUCUCGGCUCUCGCAUCGAUGAAGAACGUAGCGAAAUGCGAUACUUGGUGUGAAUUGCAGAAUCCCGUGAACCAUCGAGUCUUUGAACGCAAGUUGCGCCCGAAGCCAUUAGGCCGAGGGCACGUCUGCCUGGGGCGUCACGCACCGUCGCCCCCGCUCCAUCCCGGGCGGGGCGGAAGUUGGCCUCCCGCGAGCUCGAUCUCCCGGCCGGCCGAAACACGAGCCUCCGGCGACGACCGCCACGAUCCACGGUGGAAGAGCGAAACUCUUACCCGAGACCGACCGUGCGCGCGUCGUCCCUCGAUCCGGGCUCAGAGACCCCCGCGCCGCGCCGAGCGAGCGCUCCCGACGCGACCCCAGGUCAGGCGGGGCUACCCGCUGAGUUUAAGCAUAUCAAUAAGCGGAGGAAAAGAAACUAACAAGGAUUCCCAAUUAAAACGGGGGA
rnacentral:rRNA from 1 species